GAUGAACGCUGGCGGCGUGCCUAAUACAUGCAAGUCGAGCGAACGGACGAGAAGCUUGCUUUUCUGAUGUUAGCGGCGGACGGGUGAGUAACACGUGGAUAACCUACCUAUAAGACUGGGAUAACUUCGGGAAACCGGAGCUAAUACCGGAUAAUAUUUUGAACCGCAUGGUUCAAAAGUGAAAGACGGUCUUGCUGUCACUUAUAGAUGGAUCCGCGCUGCAUUAGCUAGUUGGUAAGGUAACGGCUUACCAAGGCAACGAUGCAUAGCCGACCUGAGAGGGUGAUCGGCCACACUGGAACUGGGACACGGUCCAGACUCCUACGGGAGGCAGCAGUAGGGAAUCUUCCGCAAUGGGCGAAAGCCUGACGGAGCAACGCCGCGUGAGUGAUGAAGGUCUUCGGAUCGUAAAACUCUGUUAUUAGGGAAGAACAUAUGUGUAAGUAACUGUGCACAUCGUGACGGUACCUAAUCAGAAAGCCACGGCUAACUACGUG
rnacentral:rRNA from 1 species